UAAAAACCCCGACUUCGGAAGGGGUGUAUUUAUUAGAUACAAAACCAAUGCCCUUCGGGGCUCUUUGGUGAUUCAUGAUAACUAUACGAAUCGCACGGCCUUGCGCCGGCGAUGGUUCAUUCAAAUUUCUUCCCUAUCAACUUUCGAUGUUUGGGUAUUGGCCAAACAUGGUUGCAACGGGUAACGGAGGGUUAGGGCUCGACCCCGGAGAAGGAGCCUGAGAAACGGCUACUACAUCCAAGGAAGGCAGCAGGCGCGCAAAUUACCCAAUCCCGACUCGGGGAGGUAGUGACAAUAAAUACUGAUACAGGGCCCUUUCGGGCCUUGUAAUUGGAAUGAGUACAAUUUAAAUCCCUUAACGAGGAACAAUUGGAGGGCAAGUCUGGUGCCAGCAGCCGCGGUAAUUCCAGCUCCAAUAGCGUAUAUUAAAGUUGUUGUGGUUAAAAAGCUCGUAGUUGAACCUUGGGCCUGGCUGGCCGGUCCGCCUCACCGCGUGCACUGGUCCGGCCGGGCCUUUCCCUCUGUGGAACCCCAUACCCUUCACUGGGCGUGGCGGGGAAACAGGACAUUUUACUU
rnacentral:rRNA from 1 species